GGGAUGGUGGGAACUGAGCACAGCUGCGGUGACGACCCGGGGAAUGACGUCAGUCUGACCUGCGUACAGCUCACGCCCGGUAGGACCGGUUUGUUUGGGGGCGUCGCCAUCAGCUGAUACAGUGACAGAAAGAGAGAAGUGUUCACACUGAAGCUGUGGGUUCGAUUUACGCCACCGCUCCAUGAUGGCGCAAAGCAGAGGACUGCUCUUCAGACAGCUGUUUGAGUCAGAGAGCAGCACCUACACCUACCUGCUGGCAGACGCACAGACCAAGGAGGCCGUGCUCAUCGACCCGGUUCUGGAGACCAUUGACAGGGACCUGAAGCUCAUAGAGGAACUGGGACUGGAUCUCAAAGUGGCAGUGAACACCCACUGCCACGCCGACCACAUCACCAGCACUGGGCUGAUGAAGAACAGAGUGGUGGGGCUGCAGAGUGCCAUCUCCAAGUUCAGUGGAGCUGCUGCAGACAUCCAGCUGUCAGAGGGAGACCACAUCACCUUUGGGAAACACCGUCUGACAGUGAGGGAGACUCCAGGACACACUGACGGCUGUGUGACGCUGGUGUUGGGGGAUCAGAGCAUGGCUUUUACUGGGGACGCGCUGCUGAUCAGAGGCUGCGGCAGGACGGAUUUCCAGCAGGCGCUGAGAAGCUCUAUGAGUCCAUUCAUGAGAAGAUCUUCACUCUGCCUGAGAGCUGCCUGCUCUACCCAGCACACGACUACAAAGGUCGAACCGUGUCCACGGUGGGUGAGGAGCGGAGGUUCAACCCACGUUUGACCAAGAGCCUGGAGGAGUUCGUGAACAUCAUGGACAACCUGAACCUCCCCAAGCCAAAGAAAAUGGAUGUUUCAAUCCCUGCUAACCUGGUUUGUGGGGUACAAGACUGAAAACGCUGCAUAAGGAAACACUUUACCACUUGACAUUUAAAUUCUCCUUUUUCUACUUCAUUAAAAUUCUGCUUCACCCCAAACCUUCAUUAUGCAGCUCUUCCUCAUUGUCUGCAUGUAAAUGCACAUGCCUUUGAACAUGUGUUGCUAUUUAGGAACCAGCUACUGUGCCGUCGGAACGCAGUGCGCGCACAGACUUUGUUUGUUGGUCUGUUUGUGUGACACUGGAGCGUGUUGUGUUCCUCGCUGUUACUACAGCUCUGCUGCUCAGUCAGGAGCGUUCCAUUCAUGGUGAGGCUCAGCGUCCACGAACCCGUAUGUGGAACAACGGGUUCUUCCACACCACCUCUCCUGUGGUUCCGCCCACGGCUCCGCGGGGCCCGUCGUGCUCCUCGCCCGUGUUCCUCCAGUUUGACUGAAACCUUCAUUAACCCCACAGAUGUCAGUACCG